UACGGAGGGGGCUAGCGUUGUCCGAAGUUACUGGGCGUAAAGCGCGCGUAGGCGGGUUGGUAAGUCCGCUGUGAAAGCCCGGAGCUUAACUCCGGAGGGUCGGUGGAUACUGCCAGUCUUGAAGGUGCUAGGGGGAGAUGGAAUUACCGGUGUAGCGGUGAAAUGCGUAGAUAUCGGUAGGAACACCAGUGGCGAAGGCGGCCUGCUGGGCAGUUGCUGACACUGAGGCGCGACAGCGUGGGGAGCAAACAGG
rnacentral:rRNA from 1 species